AUACGGAGGGUGCAAGCGUUAAUCGGAAUUACUGGGCGUAAAGCGUGCGUAGGUGGUUUGUUAAGUCAGGUGUGAAAGCCCCGGGCUCAACCUGGGAACUGCAUUUGAAACUGGCAUACUAGAGUAUAGGAGAGGAAAGUGGAAUUUCAGGUGUAGCGGUGAAAUGCGUAGAUAUCUGAAGGAACAUCAAUGGCGAAGGCAGCUUUCUGGACUAAUACUGACACUGAGGUACGAAAGCGUGGGUAGCAAACAGGAUUAGAUACCCCAGUAGUCC
rnacentral:rRNA from 1 species